rnacentral:rRNA from 1 species
UACGGGGGGAGCAAGCGUUGUUCGGAUUUACUGGGCGUAAAGGGCGCGUAGGCGGUCGUGACAAGUCACUUGUGAAAUCUCCGGGCUUAACUCGGAACGGUCAAGUGAUACUGUCGGACUAGAGUACAGAAGGGGCAACUGGAAUUCUCGGUGUAGCGGUGAAAUGCGCAGAUAUCAGGAGGAACACCGGUGGCGAAGGCGGUUCUCUGGGCAUUACCUGACGCUGAGGAGCGAAAGCCAGGGGAGCGAACGGG